rnacentral:rRNA from 1 species
AGAGUGAACGCUGGCGGCAGGCCUAACACAUGCAAGUCGAACGGCAGCACAGGAGAGCUUGCUCUCUGGGUGGCGAGUGGCGGACGGGUGAGGAAUACGUCGGAAUCUGCCUAUUUGUGGGGGAUAACGUAGGGAAACUUACGCUAAUACCGCAUACGACCUACGGGUGAAAGCGGAGGACCUUCGGGCUUCGCGCAGAUAGAUGAGCCGACGUCGGAUUAGCUAGUUGGCGGGUAAAGCCCACAAGGCGACGAUCCGUAGCUGGUCU